CAUUGUGUCUUCGAGUCGUUGAUUUCACACUGCCGAGAAAAGCCUCUAGAUAGAAAAUAGGUGCCCGUACCGCAAACCGACACAGGUAGUCAAGAUGAGAAUUCUAAGGUGAGCGAGCGAACUCUCGUUAAGGAACUCGGCAAAAUGACCCCGUAACUUCGGGAGAAGGGGUGCUCUUUAGGGUUAACGCCCAGAAGAGCCGCAGUGAAUAGGCCCAAGCGACUGUUUAUCAAAAACACAGGUCUCUGCUAAACCGUAAGGUGAUGUAUAGGGGCUGACGCCUGCCCGGUGCUGGAAGGUUAAGAGGAGUGGUUAGCUUCUGCGAAGCUACGAAUCGAAGCCCCAGUAAACGGCGGCCGUAACUAUAACGGUCCUAAGGUAGCGAAAUUCCUUGUCGGGUAAGUUCCGACCCGCACGAAAGGCGUAACGAUUUGGGCACUGUCUCAACGAGAGACUCGGUGAAAUCAUAGUACCUGUGAAGAUGCAGGUUACCCGCGACAGGACGGAAAGACCCCGUGGAGCUUUACUGUAGCCUGAUAUUGAAAUUCGGCACAGCUUGUACAGGAUAGGUAGGAGCCUUUGAAACGUGAGCGCUAGCUUACGUGGAGGCGCUGGUGGGAUACUACCCUAGCUGUGUUGGCUUUCUAACCCGCACCACUUAUCGUGGUGGGAGACAGUGUCAGGCGGGCAGUUUGACUGGGGCGGUCGCCUCCUAAAAGGUAACGGAGGCGCUCAAAGGUUCCCUCAGAAUGGUUGGAAAUCAUUCAUAGAGUGUAAAGGCAUAAGGGAGCUUGACUGCGAGACCUACAAGUCGAGCAGGGUCGAAAGACGGACUUAGUGAUCCGGUGGUUCCGCAUGGAAGGGCCAUCGCUCAACGGAUAAAAGCUACCCCGGGGAUAACAGGCUUAUCUCCCCCAAGAGUUCACAUCGACGGGGAGGUUUGGCACCUCGAUGUCGGCUCAUCGCAUCCUGGGGCUGUAGUCGGUCCCAAGGGUUGGGCUGUUCGCCCAUUAAAGCGGUACGCGAGCUGGGUUCAGAACGUCGUGAGACAGUUCGGUCCCUAUCCGUCGUGGGCGUAGGAAAUUUGAGAGGAGCUGUCCUUAGUACGAGAGGACCGGGAUGGACAUACCUCUGGUGUACCAGUUGUCGUGCCAACGGCAUAGCUGGGUAGCUAUGUGUGGACGGGAUAAGUGCUGAAAGCAUCUAAGCAUGAAGCCCCCCUCAAGAUGAGAUUUCCCAACUUCGGUUAUAAGAUCCCUCAAAGAUGAUGAGGUUAAUAGGUUCGAGGUGGAAGCAUGGUGACAUGUGGAGCUGACGAAUACUAA
rnacentral:rRNA from 1 species